AAAGCUGGUGAUGAGAAAAUAGAGAGGGACAUCUGAACUCCAUUUGGACUAAGUCUAAUGGGCAUCUCUCUGGUGAUAU
rnacentral:snoRNA from 1 species